rnacentral:rRNA from 1 species
GACGAACGCUGGCGGCGUGCCUAAUACAUGCAAGUCGAACGCAGUGGGGACGGGUGAGUAACACGUGGGUCACCUCCCAUCAGAGGGGAUAACACUUGGAAACAGGUGCUAAACCGAUACUGAUGGAUUGACCCGCGGUGCAUUAGCUAGUUGGUGAGGUAACGGCCCACCAAGGUCAUGAUGCAUAGGAGAUGUGCGAGGAUGAGCGGCAACACGGGGACGGAGACACGACCCAGACUGCUAGGGGAGGGAGGAGAAAGGAAUCUUCGAGAAGGGACAGGAGGCUGACAGAACAAAGCCGCGUGGGUGAAAAAGGUUUUAGGAUAGUAAAACUCUAUUGUUAUAGUAGCGGUAUCGAAACAGAAAGCCACGGCUAACUCCGUGCCAGCAGCCGCGGUAAUUC